GGCCGUGUGGUCUAGUCGUAUGAUUCCUGCUUUGUAAGUUACACCAAUCAACUGAGAUACAUUGCCUGAUUUAACAACAAAGGGGUUCCAUAUUCAAAAUGCAGGAGGUCCAGGGUUCAAUUCCCUGCUCGGCCC